UUUUAGCCCUGAUGGAAGUGAAAAUCCUCCCGAUUUUUUUUCGGGAGAUUGCAACGUACAGCAGGAAUAGCU
rnacentral:sRNA from 1 species